rnacentral:lncRNA from 1 species
GGCGGUGGUAUGUGAUAGCUCAACAAUCUGCCACAACACAUUCCUUGCAAGGCUGUUGCGUCACAUACGCUAUUUCGGAAGAGUGAAACAUGCGGACCCAGGUAGCUUAGGUGGUUCAGGACUAGGCUUGGACCCGAUGUUGCCUUACCUUGGCUAAACUCCCCCAAACAUACAAUGUAAGUACUACCAACAACAAGAAAACCAAAAACUUCUUUUCUCUCUCUCUCUCUAUCUUGGUGUAAUAUGUUUCCAUGGCGAGUUGUUCCUUGUACAGGAAAAGAUUUGUUAUCAGUUGUCGUUACCACAGAAAGUAAUUUGUAUAUGAAAAGACAGAAAUAUUCAUGUAUAUUUUAUACAAUUGGUGUGGCGUCAUAUUUUACCACAUAUCCACUAAGUUAUUCUGGUCUGGUAAAACAAACACAAUUAAACAGUUUUUGAUUACUGUUCUAUAUUCCAAAUCAUUUUAGUUAAUAGUUAUUAAAGAAAAUGGUUAAGUUGCUCGUAGAUUAAUGGGGAGAGUAACAAACAAGAAAGCAAAGAGUUGUCGUUAUAAUUGUGCCUUGAUUUGGUCGUGAAGUAAAGUUUUUCUUGAUUAUAUGUAACACGUAACAACUAAUGACAGUCAAUUGAUUAUUUAGUUUAUAUACUAAAUAUAUCUUCUUCUUGAAGAGAAAAAAAAAUCCUUAAUUACUCUAUAAUGAUUACAGUUUGGUAGAUAUGAUGUUAUUAGUACUAUUAUACACAUCUCCGGAGAUUGGUGGAUCUACAAGGUGUUACUCAAAGCCAAUCAUUAUCACAUAUUUGUAUACAUGUGAUACGAAUAACGUUUGGUGGUUCAGUAGUACUAUUAUACUAAGAAAGCGAUGGUUGAUUUGUACCUAAAGUGAUAGUUUACACCAUUUAUCCUGUCUCACUUUCUCGUCCAGCAAAAUAUAUAUAUUGAGUUUCUCCUCUCUCAUGGUAUGCUCUCCUGUUUUUCUUAUUCUUUUAGAUUCUGCAUUUUUUUGUUGUUUGGGUUAAUUGUCAUUUUCUUAUUUCAUUCUUUUAUUGAAUUAUUUUCUUAGAAGAUUUUGUUGGUUGUAGGCUAGUCUUUCUUCUGUUCUUGGCUAUUGCUUUCUUUUUCUACAUUUGUAUGAUAAUACCUGACUACUGUAGUCAACUUGUUUUGAUAUGUGCACAACUUGCAGAAUGAGUUAAUGUUGAUAUGCUCCUUAUACAAAAUGUUUUGGUUUGAAUAAGCCCAUAUGAUUUCGUUUCACAUUGUACUGUGAUUUUUCUUGUGAUUCACUAACUCCCAAUGUUUUUUUUUUUGCCAUUUUCCAUGCUCCAAAAUUUUCUUUAAUAAGAUUUGUCUUAUUUCUCAUUCAUAUUGUGAAAUGGUUUAUUUGGGUAUACACCAAAAUAAUCUUAUUGGUUUAUAAAUUCAGUAAAGAGUGUCUUUAAUUUGAGACCUAGAAUCAUUUAUAGUAAAAUGCCAAUUGGAUGUUAAACAUGAAUCUUUAGAAAAUAUUUAAAAAUUUUGUGUUACUGAACUUAUGAUUUUAAAAUAUAUUAAAAAUGUUUCAAUGAAAAUGUUUCAGUUAGUGAAUAAUAAUAAAAUAUUGUGAUCUAAGAUGUUGUGGUAGAGAUUUUUAGUUAAAAGGAUAAAAAAUGAAUAUUUAAUCUUUUUAGAUGAGAUAUUUAGUGGUGUUAGAAGGAACUGAAUUUUGAAUGAUUUGUAAAAGAUUUAUCCUGUUGUUAUUAGUUUAUUGAUUUUAACAAUCUAGUGUUACUAGUUUGCUGAUUAUUUAAUUACAGAUAAAAUCUACUAUUAUCUAAAAAGUUUGAUUUUAAUGAUUCUAUUACGAUGUCACUGGAACUUGAAUUAUAAAAAAAUUAAUUCCUAACAGAAUAUUUUUAACAGAAUAUUUUCUUAGAUUUUAUAAAUAUGCAAAACCCUUUGCAGUUCUUUAUAAAUUUAACAAAAUUAGCAUCUCUUAGGAUCAAUACUUUAUGUAAGUUAAACUUCCACUAACACCUUUUAAGUGUUUUUAUAUUUAAACUUUUUACAUAUUUAAUCCUUGUUUACAUAUUCAACCCUUUUUAUAUAUCUAACUUUUUUCUUGUCUCUCUCUCUUUGAUAUUUCAUAUUUAACUUUGCUUGCAAAAUUCCCAUGUUCGAUUUUCUAUUCUUUUAUUUAAAAUAAAGGAGAGAGAGAGAAAUAAAGACUUUCAUGUUUUCGCGGAAAACAAAAACAAAAAUUCGCCGCUUCAAGUUUCAAAAUAAAUGCUGAAAGUGAGUUGUGUGUCUGUCUAAAUUCAAAACCGCUUUUGUCACCUUCCUCAGAGCAUAACGAUGCUGAAAGUUCCUGAUUCUUCUUCACCCACCGGAGUUCUCGAAGAAUUCUUCAGAACCGAAGAAUUUGAAAGCUCCGAGGCCGCGAAGAACCCUUCCUCUUCUCGUUUCCGCAGAAUCGUUGAGCUUCUAAGAAGCACAUCGAAAAAAUCGCUGGAGAAUCUGAAGAUUCCGUUUCACAACAAUGCCGUUAAGAGCUCUUUGAGGAGAUGCACUAGCUUGAGGGACAAUCUCAGAUUCGGAUCCUCCAACGAUGCUCAUUUUCUUGUACACUCUCCUCGAAGAAUCUUCACUUUCUCUGAGCUCAAGGUUGCUACAAACAAUUUCGCUUUCGGUAAGUAUCAAAUCUGAAAUCUCAACAUGGGUUUGUUUGAUUGUUUUGUUUGUUGCGUUUCGGUUUAGUAUCGGUUUGAUAAAAUUCCUACUGUUGAUUUUCUGGUUUACUUGGUUUAGCAGACUUUUUUUUUUGUUUACUUGGUUUACUACUAAACUUUAAAGUAAACCAGUGAAUCAAAGUUGUCAUGUCUAAAUGUUUUAUGAUUUGAAUUGUUAAUAAAAUCAUGUUUUUGUUGAACAUAUAGUUGAACUGACCAAACUAAAGAAGAUUUGCGUGUAAUAAUAGCAAUAUUUUCUUCUGGGCAGAGAAUCUAAUUGGGAAAGGAGGUUAUGCUGAAGUGUACAAGGGGAGGUUGUCAAAUGGACAAAUGGUAGCUAUAAAACGGCUGAUGCGGGGAAAUAGCGAGGAGAUCAUUGGAGACUUUCUAUCAGAGAUGGGCAUAAUGGCACAUGUUAACCAUUCAAACAUUGCCAAGCUUUUGGGCUAUGGUGUCGAAGGUGGAAUGCAUCUUGUUCUUGAGUUAUCACCUCAUGGGAGCUUAGCUUCUAUGCUUUAUAGUAAACUCUCUUCCUCCAUCACUCUUGCAUGCAUGCCUUUAUGAUUAUCAUCCAAAUUAGAGAACAUUGUUUGAUUGAUAUAGGCUCCAAGGAGAAGAUGAAUUGGAGCAUCAGGUACAAGAUUGCAUUGGGAGUUGCAGAGGGUCUCGUCUAUCUUCACAGAGGAUGUCACAGGAGAAUCAUUCACAGAGAUAUUAAGGCCGCAAACAUUCUUCUCACUCAUGAUUUUUCGCCUCAGGUACGGUAUAUAUUGGAAGAAAACAAAACAUAUCUUUAAUUGGUUCUUUGCCUCUGAUGAAAUGUCUUGGGAUUUUAGAUAUGCGAUUUUGGGCUUGCAAAGUGGCUACCUGAACACUGGACGCACCAUAUUGUUUCCAAGUUUGAAGGCACGUUCGGGUAAGACUACGUACGCAUUAAGCAUAUACUUCCUUGGAUAAUUGUUUUCUUUUUUUUUUCUUUUACCAAGCAAGUCUCAGAGAUGGAUUUUGUUUCAGAUAUCUUGCUCCUGAGUACUUAACUCACGGGAUAGUAGACGAGAAGACUGAUGUAGCUGGAUGAUUUUCCAGUUGCUGAUGGAGUUGAGGUCGCAACCAUUGACAGCUUUCAAGGACGGGAGGCUGAUGCAGUGAUCAUAUCAAUGGUACACUAUUACCUUCUGUAGCAUUGCAUGCCUUUUUAUUUUAUUUUGCCAAGUGCAAAGAAGAUUCAUGUAGUUGGUUGCUGCUUUUGUAUAGGUACGGUCCAACAACCUAGGUGCAGUGGGAUUCCUAGGGGAUAGCAGAAGGAUGAACGUAGCCAUAACAAGAGCCCGGAAGCACGUGGCGGUGGUAUGUGAUAGCUCAACAAUCUGCCACAACACAUUCCUUGCAAGGCUGUUGCGUCACAUACGCUAUUUCGGAAGAGUGAAACAUGCGGACCCAGGUAGCUUAGGUGGUUCAGGACUAGGCUUGGACCCGAUGUUGCCUUACCUUGGCUAAACUCCCCCAAACAUACAAUGUAAGUACUACCAACAACAAGAAAACCAAAAACUUCUUUUCUCUCUCUCUCUCUAUCUUGGUGUAAUAUGUUUCCAUGGCGAGUUGUUCCUUGUACAGGAAAAGAUUUGUUAUCAGUUGUCG